AGAGUUUGAUCCUGGCUCAGGACGAACGCUGGCGGCGUGCCUAAUACAUGCAAGUCGAACGCUUCUUUUUCCACCGGAGCUUGCUCCACCGGAAAAAGAGGAGUGGCGAACGGGUGAGUAACACGUGGGUAACCUGCCCAUCAGAAGGGGAUAACACUUGGAAACAGGUGCUAAUACCGUAUAACAAUCGAAACCGCAUGGUUUUGAUUUGAAAGGCGCUUUCGGGUGUCGCUGAUGGAUGGACCCGCGGUGCAUUAGCUAGUUGGUGAGGUAACGGCUCACCAAGGCCACGAUGCAUAGCCGACCUGAGAGGGUGAUCGGCCACAUUGGGACUGAGACACGGCCCAAACUCCUACGGGAGGCAGCAGUAGGGAAUCUUCGGCAAUGGACGAAAGUCUGACCGAGCAACGCCGCGUGAGUGAAGAAGGUUUUCGGAUCGUAAAACUCUGUUGUUAGAGAAGAACAAGGAUGAGAGUAACUGUUCAUCCCUUGACGGUAUCUAACCAGAAAGCCACGGCUAACUACGUGCCAGCAGCCGCGGUAAUACGUAGGUGGCAAGCGUUGUCCGGAUUUAUUGGGCGUAAAGCGAGCGCAGGCGGUUUCUUAAGUCUGAUGUGAAAGCCCCCGGCUCAACCGGGGAGGGUCAUUGGAAACUGGGAGACUUGAGUGCAGAAGAGGAGAGUGGAAUUCCAUGUGUAGCGGUGAAAUGCGUAGAUAUAUGGAGGAACACCAGUGGCGAAGGCGGCUCUCUGGUCUGUAACUGACGCUGAGGCUCGAAAGCGUGGGGAGCAAACAGGAUUAGAUACCCUGGUAGUCCACGCCGUAAACGAUGAGUGCUAAGUGUUGGAGGGUUUCCGCCCUUCAGUGCUGCAGCUAACGCAUUAAGCACUCCGCCUGGGGAGUACGACCGCAAGGUUGAAACUCAAAGGAAUUGACGGGGGCCCGCACAAGCGGUGGAGCAUGUGGUUUAAUUCGAAGCAACGCGAAGAACCUUACCAGGUCUUGACAUCCUUUGACCACUCUAGAGAUAGAGCUUCCCCUUCGGGGGCACAGUGACAGGUGGUGCAUGGUUGUCGUCAGCUCGUGUCGUGAGAUGUUGGGUUAAGUCCCGCAACGAGCGCAACCCUUAUUGUUAGUUGCCAUCAUUCAGUUGGGCACUCUAGCAAGACUGCCGGUGACAAACCGGAGGAAGGUGGGGAUGACGUCAAAUCAUCAUGCCCCUUAUGACCUGGGCUACACACGUGCUACAAUGGGAAGUACAACGAGUCGCGAAGUCGCGAGGCUAAGCUAAUCUCUUAAAGCUUCUCUCAGUUCGGAUUGCAGGCUGCAACUCGCCUGCAUGAAGCCGGAAUCGCUAGUAAUCGCGGAUCAGCACGCCGCGGUGAAUACGUUCCCGGGCCUUGUACACACCGCCCGUCACACCACGAGAGUUUGUAACACCCGAAGUCGGUGAGGUAACCUUUU
rnacentral:rRNA from 1 species